ACUGAACGCUGGCGGCAUGCCUUACACAUGCAAGUCGAACGGCAGCACGGGUGCUUGCCCCUGGUGGCGAGUGGCGAACGGGUGAGUAAUACAUCGGAACAUGUCCUGUAGUGGGGGAUAGCCCGGCGAAAGCCGGAUUAAUACCGCAUACGAUCUACGGAUGAAAGCGGGGGACCUUCGGGCCUCGCGCUAUAGGGUUGGCCGAUGGCUGAUUAGCUAGUUGGUGGGGUAAAGGCCUACCAAGGCGACGAUCAGUAGCUGGUCUGAGAGGACGACCAGCCACACUGGGACUGAGACACGGCCCAGACUCCUACGGGAGGCAGCAGUGGGGAAUUUUGGACAAUGGGCGAAAGCCUGAUCCAGCAAUGCCGCGUGUGUGAAGAAGGCCUUCGGGUUGUAAAGCACUUUUGUCCGGAAAGAAAUCCUUGGCCCUAAUACGGUCGGGGGAUGACGGUACCGGAAGAAUAAGCACCGGCUAACUACGUG
rnacentral:rRNA from 1 species